rnacentral:rRNA from 1 species
UGGCGGACGGGUGAGUAACGCGUGGGUAACCUGCCCUGUACAGGGGGAUAACAGCUGGAAACGGCUGCUAAUACCGCAUAAGCGCACGAGGAGACAUCUCCUUGUGUGAAAAACUCCGGUGGUACAGGAUGGGCCCGCGUCUGAUUAGCUGGUUGGCAGGGUAACGGCCUACCAAGGCAACGAUCAGUAGCCGGCCUGAGAGGGUGAACGGCCACAUUGGGACUGAGACACGGCCCAA